GACUAAAGCCUUCAUUUCAAAUUUGAAUUUUACCUCAUAUGAGGACAGCUUCAUGUAUAGGAAAAUUCAAAAGUCUGGAAAUAAGAGGAAAUGCCUUUCAGCCAGAAAAACACAAAAACAGUUUAUUGCAGCAGAUGGUUCAAACAGUGGAGCUGAAGAGUAAUUGGAUCAGCUGUAGUUAUUUCACAUGUGACAGCACCUGCAAAUGGUGCUGAGUUAUAGCAUCAGGAAGUAGAAUGUACUGAAUGCAAAGCUGAAUGCAAAGAUCCCUUGAUGUGUGGAGAAGUUCCUUCUGUUUCUGCCACCCAAAGAAUUACUGGUAAGUACAACACUGGAUGAAGUUGCAAUU